rnacentral:lncRNA from 1 species
AGACUACAUAUAUUGAUUUUGAAUUACUAGCUGUUUUGUCCAGGAGAACAUUUUCUGCUUCUCUUUUUACCUAAUAUAGUGCUCACUGGUUACUUGUGGAAUUUGAACAUGUAAAAUGUAGAUGCUAUUCAUUCUUGAGCUUCCAGGCUCAGACCUAUGCACUCUUCCAUAGCUAUUAUCACUGGGCUGAAUUCAUGACCAAAGAGAAGUUUGUUUAGUGCUCUGAAGCUCAAGGGCCAAAUGUAUAGUACACUUGAAUGUUGACAAUGACAACUAAGAUUUGAAAACUAGAUCACCUUUAAGGUCUUGCAGUGAGACUGUAUGAUGCCAUCAAUUAAAACAGGGUCACUUCUACAUCUUACCCAAACUUCUUUACACAAGUUUAGUAGAGAAGCAAUCUACUCAAUACCAAGAUAUGAGAAAGAAUUGUGGUCUAUUUCCAAUAAGCAAGCUCCUAGUAGAUAAAAAAAAAAAAAAAAAAAAAAAAAAAAAAAAAAAAAAAACUGAAAAAAAACCCGCAAUAUGCAACAAAAAUUUGAAGAAUGAAUUUAUUUGCUCAAAUUAUAUAAAAGAAACAUUGUUCUCUUUUGUUGCUAACUUAGUGUGCCCAUAGCCUCAGGCAAUUAUAAAAAUACAUUGAGGUCUGGUAAUGUUAGGUGCUCAUACAUGUAAGGGGUUCAAUGCCAAGUAAAGAAGGUUUAUAAAAUUGCAUGUCAAAAACCAAUAGGACUUUAGUAGGUUGUAUUUAAAUAAAGAAGUAAUGCUGUAUCAAAUGCAUUAAUACAUAGAUAAUAAAACUUGAAUAUAUCUUUGUGAGAUUUUAAUGAUUUAGUGAAUUGAAAAAAUAUUCAGUAUAAACAAACCAAAACAGACUCAGCAGGUUAUGUUAUAUAUUUCUGCUCAAAUACACACACAUCCUAAUAAUAAUAAUGAUAACAAUAGUAAUAGUAAUUCAUUACUUUGACAGGGGAGAACAUAGGAAAGAUUGGAGGAUGAAAGGGCAAGGAGGAAACUGUCACAAUUAUAUUUUGAUUAAAUUAAAAUGUUUUAGAAAAAGAAAAUGAGUAGACUUAGGAAACAAGUAAUAAGAAAAGUCUAAACCUACGUGAUGAAACAUGGGGCCAGGUGGGUUUCUUUCUUUCUUUCUUUCUUUCUUUUUUUUUUUUUUUAGCAUCUUAUAAAAACAAACCACCUGGCUGCUGUUUUAAACUGUGAGGACGCUUCCUAAUCAUUUGAGAUUACAGUAAUAGCUUAUGACAUUUGAGAAACAGUGAUCAGGGAUGAGGAGACAGCGCCAUGAGUAAAGUACUCAGUGUGCCAACCCAAGAACCACUGCAAAAGCUGUAUGUUUGCAGCUGUCUGUGCUACCAGCAUCCAGGAGACAGCGACAGAAGGUCCCUGGGACACUACAAAUGUAUCUAUGUAUGGAUUUAUGGAGUCAGAGAAGGAAAGGAGGAUGGGGAAGAAGAUAAGAGG